rnacentral:rRNA from 1 species
AUUGAACGCUGGCGGAAUGCUUUACACAUGCAAGUCGAACGGCAGCACGGGGGCAGCCCUGGUGGCGAGUGGCGAACGGGUGAGUAAUACAUCGGGACGUGCCCGGUCGUGGGGGAUAACGUAGCGAAAGUUACGCUAAUACCGCAUACGAUCUGAGGAUGAAAGCGGGGGACCUUCGGGCCUCGCGCGAUCGGAGCGGCCGAUGUCAGAUUAGGUAGUUGGUGGGGUAAAGGCCUACCAAGCCGACGAUCUGUAGCUGGUCUGAGAGGACGACCAGCCACACUGGGACUGAGACACGGCCCAGACUCCUACGGGAGGCAGCAGUGGGGAAUUUUGGACAAUGGGCGCAAGCCUGAUCCAGCCAUUCCGCGUGCAGGACGAAGGCCUUCGGGUUGUAAACUGCUUUUGUACGGAACGAAAAGGCUCUGGCUAAUACCUGGGGCUCAUGACGGUACCGUAAGAAUAAGCACCGGCUAACUACGUG